rnacentral:rRNA from 1 species
CCUACGGGCGGCAGCAGUGAGGAAUAUUGGUCAAUGGGCGGAAGCCUGAACCAGCCAAGUAGCGUGCAGGAUGACGGCCCUACGGGUUGUAAACUGCUUUUAUACGGGAAUAACGCGCCUUACGUGUAGGGCUUUGCAUGUACCGUAUGAAUAAGGACCGGCUAAUUCCGUGCCAGCAGCCGCGGUAAUACGGAAGGUCCGGGCGUUAUCCGGAUUUAUUGGGUUUAAAGGGAGCGUAGGCCGCAUGUCAAGCGUGCUGUGAAAUGUCCGGGCUCAACCCGGGCCUUGCAGCGCGAACUGGCGUGCUUGAGUCCGCUGAAAGCAGGCGGAAUUCGUCGUGUAGCCGUGAAAUGCUUAGAUAUGACGAAGAACCCCGAGUGCGAAGGCAGCUUGCUGCAGCGGAACUGACGCUGAUGCUCAAAAGCGCGGGUAUCGAACAGGAUUAGAUACCCUGGUAGUC